GCUCAGGACGAACGCUGGCGGCGUGCUUAACACAUGCAAGUCGAGCGGUAAGGCCUUUCGGGGUACACGAGCGGCGAACGGGUGAGUAACACGUGGGUGAUCUGCCCUGCACUCUGGGAUAAGCUUGGGAAACUGGGUCUAAUACCGGAUAUGACCGCAAUGCGCAUGUGUUGUGGUGGAAAGAUUUAUCGGUGCAGGAUGGGCCCGCGGCCUAUCAGCUUGUUGGUGGGGUAAUGGCCUACCAAGGCGACGACGGGUAGCCGACCUGAGAGGGUGACCGGCCACACUGGGACUGAGACACGGCCCAGACUCCUACGGGAGGCAGCAGUGGGGAAUAUUGCACAAUGGGCGGAAGCCUGAUGCAGCGACGCCGCGUGAGGGAUGAAGGCCUUCGGGUUGUAAACCUCUUUCAGCAGGGACGAAGCGUGAGUGACGGUACCUGCAGAAGAAGCACCGGCUAACUACGUGCCAGCAGCCGCGGUAAUACGUAGGGUGCGAGCGUUGUCCGGAAUUACUGGGCGUAAAGAGUUCGUAGGCGGUUUGUCGCGUCGUUUGUGAAAACCCGGGGCUCAACUUCGGGCUUGCAGGCGAUACGGGCAGACUUGAGUGUUUCAGGGGAGACUGGAAUUCCUGGUGUAGCGGUGAAAUGCGCAGAUAUCAGGAGGAACACCGGUGGCGAAGGCGGGUCUCUGGGAAACAACUGACGCUGAGGAACGAAAGCGUGGGUAGCAAACAGGAUUAGAUACCCUGGUAGUCCACGCCGUAAACGGUGGGCGCUAGGUGUGGGUUCCUUCCACGGGAUCUGUGCCGUAGCUAACGCAU
rnacentral:rRNA from 1 species